CCUACGGGGGGCAGCAGUAGGGAAUAUUGGGCAAUGGCCGAGAGGCUGACCCAGCCAUGCCGCGUGCAGGAUGAAGGUUUCUGAGUCGUAAACUGCUUUUGCGGAAAAGCCGGUACCUGGUGAAUAAGCACCGGCUAACUCCGUGCCAGCAGCCGCGGUAAUACGGAGGGUGCAAGCGUUGUCCGGAUUUAUUGGGUUUAAAGGGUGCGUAGGCGGCUGAUUAAGUCUGGGGUGAAAGCCCGUUGCUCAACAACGGAACUGCCCUGGAAACUGGUUAGCUUGAGUACAGACGAGGGUGGCGGAAUGGAUGCUGUAGCGGUGAAAUGCAUAGAUAGCAUCCAGAACCCCGAUUGCGAAGGCAGCUGCCUAGCUUAACUGACGCUGAGGCACGAAAGCGUGGGGAGCGAACAGGAUUAGAUACCCUUGUAGUC
rnacentral:rRNA from 1 species